UAACAAGAGAGGACUAUUACAUUCCCCAAAAACUGAUCUCUGUCAGAAAGUAUCAAGCUUUGAGCUUGAUGAUUCUCUAGUUCAUUGUGUUCUUCCAAGAUUUGAGAUAGAAGAUGGAGCAGUUCAAAGAGAGGAAGUUCACAGAGAAUGUGGUAAAGGUGUCACUUCUUCUAAAGCUCUUUGUGGUCACAUGGCUUGUCACUUUGAGAGAGAAUAGAGGGUGUCAUGUUCUCAUUUUUUCAGGUCAAGAAGAGUGUAAAGUCAUCAGUCAUCAGUCAUCAGUCAUCAGUCACAGACUUGUGUAGUAAUCACUUGUGCAAUGCUUACGUACUAACUCUUGUAGUCUUGUAGUCUUGCAAACUCUUGUAGUCAUCAGUCACGGACUUGUAAAGCUUUGUGUCUAUAUAAACUUGUGAACUCUUGUAGUGUUGUGAA